rnacentral:rRNA from 1 species
UACGGAGGGGGCUAGCGUUGUUCGGAAUUACUGGGCGUAAAGCGCACGUAGGCGGCUUUGUAAGUUAGAGGUGAAAGCCCGGGGCUCAACUCCGGAAUUGCCUUUAAGACUGCAUCGCUAGAAUUGUGGAGAGGUAAGUGGAAUUCCGAGUGUAGAGGUGAAAUUCGUAGAUAUUCGGAAGAACACCAGUGGCGAAGGACGACUUACUGGACACAUAUUGACGCUGAGGUGCGAAAGCGUGGGGAGCAAACACGG